rnacentral:tRNA from 1 species
GCUCCGUUAGCUCAGCGGUAGAGCCGGGUCUUUGUAAGGCUCAGGUCGCAGGUUCGAUCCCGUGCACGGAGCACCA